GGAGCUACGAGCUGGGCCGCGGGCUGUCUGAAUGCGUAAACCAGGUUUUGCGCCUGCUCAUAUAAAGCUCUCCUAACCCGUCUUCCGGUGGGAAUUUUUUCACGUGGUCCAGAGUCGGAGACUGAGUUUAGCUUUACUGAGGAGCACUAAAUUUAGGCGGGUAUGAGUGAUUUCAGUGAAGAAUUAAAAGGGCCUGUGACAGAUGAUGAAGAAGUGGAAACAUCUGUGCGCAGUGGUGCAGGAAUGCAUUUUCCUUGGCUUCAAACAUACGUAGAAACUGUGGCCAUUGGAGGGAAAAGGAAGAAGGAUUUUGCUCAGACAACAAGUGCUUGUUUAAGUUUUAUCCAAGAAGCUCUGCUGAAGCACCAAUGGCAGCAAGCUGCAGAAUACAUGUACAGUUAUUUUCAGACCUUGGAAGAUUCAGAUAGCUACAAAAGGCAGGCUGCACCUGAGUAAUUUCUGCUUUGACAGAUUAUUUGGAAGCUCGGAAGUGAAAUUCUAUUUUAUCAUCCCAAAAGCAACAUGGAGACUUUCAAUACUUUUGCUGACCGGAUGAAAAAUAUUGGCGUCAUGAAUUAUUUAAAGAUCUCCUUACAACAUGCAUUAUACCUUCUGCAUCAUGGAAUGCUUAAAGAUGCUAAGAGAAAUCUGAGUGAGGCAGAGACAUGGAGACAUGGUGAAAAUACGUCUUCCCGGGAAAUAUUAAUCAACCUUAUUCAGGCCUAUAAAGGGCUCUUACAAUAUUAUACCUGGUCUAAAAAGAAGAUGGAAUUGUCAAAGCUUGAUAAGGAUGAUUAUGCUUACAAUGCAGUAGCCCAGGAUGUGUUCAACCACAGCUGGAAGACAUCUGCAAAUAUUUCUGCAUUGAUUAAAAUUCCUGGAGUUUGGGACCCUUUUGUGAAGAGUUAUGUAGAAAUGCUGGAAUUCUAUGGGGAUCGAGAUGGAGCCCAAGAGGUACUCACCAAUUAUGCAUAUGAUGAAAAGUUUCCAUCAAAUCCAAAUGCCCAUAUCUACUUAUACAACUUCCUAAAGAGACAGAAGGCACCA
rnacentral:sRNA from 1 species